rnacentral:rRNA from 1 species
CUUGUUGGUGGGGUAAUGGCCUACCAAGGCGACGACGGGUAGCCGGCCUGAGAGGGCGACCGGCCACACUGGGACUGAGACACGGCCCAGACUCCUACGGGAGGCAGCAGUGGGGAAUAUUGCGCAAUGGGCGAAAGCCUGACGCAGCGACGCCGCGUGAGGGAUGACGGCCUUCGGGUUGUAAACCUCUUUCAGCAGGGACGAAGCGCAAGUGACGGUACCUGCAGAAGAAGCACCGGCCAACUACGUGCCAGCAGCCGCGGUAAUACGUAGGGUGCAAGCGUUGUCCGGAAUUAUUGGGCGUAAAGGGCUCGUAGGCGGUCCGUCACGUCGGGAGUGAAAACUUGGGGCUCAACCCCAAGACUGCUUCCGAUACGGGCGGACUAGAGGUAGGCAGGGGAGAACGGAAUUCCUGGUGUAGCGGUGGAAUGCGCAGAUAUCAGGAGGAACACCGGUGGCGAAGGCGGUUCUCUGGGCCUUACCUGACGCUGAGGAGCGAAAGCGUGGGGAGCGAACAGGAUUAGAUACCCUGGUAGUCCACGCCGUAAACGUUGGGCGCUAGGUGUGGGACUCAUUCCACGAGUUCCGUGCCGCAGCUAACGCAUUAAGCGCCCCGCCUGGGGAGUACGGCCGCAAGGCUAAAACUCAAAGGAAUUGACG